rnacentral:rRNA from 5 species
UAAACGACUCUSGGCAACGGAUAUCUCGGCUCACGCAUCGAURAAGAACGUAGCAAAAUGCGAUACUUGGUGUGAAUUGCAGAAUCCCGUGAACCAUCGAGUUUUUGAACGCAAGUUGCGCCCGAAGCCUUCCGGCUAAGGGCACG